rnacentral:rRNA from 1 species
GAUGAACGCUGGCGGCGUGCCUAAUACAUGCAAGUCGAGCGAACGGACGAGAAGCUUGCUUCUCUGAUGUUAGCGGCGGACGGGUGAGUAACACGUGGAUAACCUACCUAUAAGACUGGGAUAACUUCGGGAAACCGGAGCUAAUACCGGAUGAUAUUUUGAACCGCAUGGUUCAAAAGUGAAAGACGGUCUUGCUGUCGCUUAUAGAUGGAUCCGCGCUGCAUUAGCUAGUUGGUAAGGUAACGGCUUACCAAGGCAACGAUGCAUAGCCGACCUGAGAGGGUGAUCGGCCACACUGGAACUGAGACACGGUCCAGACUCCUACGGGAGGCAGCAGUAGGGAAUCUUCCGCAAUGGGCGAAAGCCUGACAGAGCAACGCCGCGUGAGUGAUGAAGGUCUUCGGAUCGUAAAACUCUGUUAUUAGGGAAGAACAUAUGUGUAAGUAACUGUGCACAUCUUGACGGUACCGAAUCAGAAAGCCACGGCUAACUACGU